GACGAACGCUGGCGGCGUGCCUAAUACAUGCAAGUCGAGCGAAGUUUUUCUGGUGCUUGCACUAGAAAAACUUAGCGGCGAACGGGUGAGUAACACGUAAAGAACCUGCCUCAUAGACUGGGACAACUAUUGGAAACGAUAGCUAAUACCGGAUAACAGUAUUUCUCGCAUGAGAGAUAUUUAAAAGUUGGUUAUGCUAACACUAUGAGAUGGCUUUGCGGUGCAUUAGCUAGUUGGUGGGGUAAAGGCCCACCAAGGCGACGAUGCAUAGCCGACCUGAGAGGGGGAUCGGCCACACUGGGACUGAGACACGGCCCAGACUCCUACGGGAGGCAGCAGUAGGGAAUCUUCCGCAAUGGGCGAAAGCCUGACGGAGCAACGCCGCGUGAGUGAAGAAGGAUUUCGGUUCGUAAAGCUCUGUUGUUAGGGAAGAAUGGAUAUGUAGUAACUAUACAUGUAAGAGACGGUACCUAACCAGAAAGCCACGGCUAACUACGUG
rnacentral:rRNA from 1 species